GACGAACCGUGCGAACGUUAUUCGGAAUCACUGGGCUUAAAGGGCGCGUAGGUGGUUGAUCAAGUCUGGGGUGAAAUCUUUCGGCUUAACCGGAAAAGUGCCUUGGAUACUGGUCAGCUGGAGGGAGGUAGGGGCAGUUGGAACUUCCAGUGGAGCGGUGAAAUGCGCAGAUAUCAGGAGGAACACCGGUGGCGAAGGCGGAUCUCUGGGCCUUACCUGACGCUCAGGUGCGAAAGCUAGGGGAGCGAACAGG
rnacentral:rRNA from 1 species